GGAAACUUUAAAAUUGAAACCGCCGUGGGUUGACCAAGGCGGACGCUCUGGUUUUGGCGGCUGUGUUUUCGUGUGCAGUGGUGUCGUUUACUGAAAACUGGGCGCUGGGUCUCGUUGAGAAGCUGAGCGAAAGAUAUCCCUUCACACUGUCCAAGAGCCCCAUGUAUACAGUGGGAGCCCCUCACACGUGGCCUUACAUCGAGGCUGCCUUGGUGUGACUGCAUCAAGAUUCAUACUGCCAUGAAAGAAAGCUCACCUUUAUUUGAUGAUGGGCAGCUCUGGGGAGAAGAAACUGAAGAUGGAAUUAAACACAAUAAGAGGACUUGUACAAGGUAGAUGAGUCCAAGCUGGAGUCACUCACAGCCGAAAUCAAAGCACUAAAUGAACAGAUUGCAAGACUGGAGGAGGAAAGAGAAAGAGAACCGAAUGCUUCUUGGUGAAAAUAACUAAUACGUUCUCUCAAGAACCGUCUGAUGUCAUUGAGGAAACUGAAAGCUUCAUUACAAGCAAAUGUUCAAAACUAUAAAGCUGAACAGCAACAGAUGUGGAAUGAGGAAUUGAAAUAUGCCAGAGGCAAAGAGGCGAUUGAAGCGCAGCUAGCCAAGUACCACAAGUUGGCUAGAAAAUUAAAGCUUAUCCCCAAAGGUGCUGAGAAUUCCAAAGGUUACGACUUUGAAAUUAAGUUUAAUCCUGAGGUGGGUGCCAACUGCCCUGUCAAAUACAGGACUCAAGUGUAUGCACCUCUCAAAGAACUCUUGAAUGAAAGCGAAGAAAAAAAUUAACAAAGCUCUGAAUAAAAAGAGGGCUCUGGAGGAUACUUUAGAACAAGUUUUAUCCAAGCUGAACACCAUGAAAAUGGAAAGCAAGAAUACUGUGAAGAUGCUGAAGGAAGAGAUUCAAAAGCUGGAUGACCUUUACCAACAAACAGUGAAGAUAACCAGUUAACUGUGCAGACCACAACUGAAGAAAGAAGAAAGGUGGGAAACAACUUACAACGUCUUUUGGAGAUGGUCGCCACACAUGUAGGGUCUUUGGAGAAACAUCUUGAAGAGGAAAAUGCUAAAGCCGACAGAGAGUACGAAGAAUUCAUGUCUGAAGAUCUGGAAAACAUCAGAGAGAUCGAAGAGAAGUAUAAGAGAAAUGCUGCCCAACUUAAGGCUCCCGACAAAUGAAGAUAAUCUUUCAUAGACAUAACAUAGUAUUUUAUCCCCAAAUUAUGAUAACAUGGUAAAUUGACCUUUUGGACAUAUCAGACAGUUAAUAAAGUGUACUAGU